AUACAUGUUGUAUUUAUAGUUGAUUUGUAUAAGCUAGUCAAAGGAGCAAGACAUUUUUUUAUAUUACUUUUACUAAUAUUUCUUCAUUUCGAAAUAUAUUUUUUUCUAUCACCUCUUUAACUCAUAUGCUAGUCAUAACAUUGUGUAAUAUGUGUAAUAUUUAGUGAAUGUUUAUGUCACAUUUUUGCAUGUAUCUAUAUGUGAACCUAAAUGGGCGUUCUUUGUAAAACUUCUAUACACAGUAGUUUGUAAAUAGUUAUGUGCACAAAAACACUUUUUGAUAGCAAUA
rnacentral:lncRNA from 1 species